rnacentral:misc_RNA from 1 species
GAUGAAGAACGUAGCGAAAUGCGAUAGGUAAUGUGAAUUGCAGAAUUCAGUGAAUCAUCGAAUCUUUGAACGCACAUUGCGCCCGCCAGUAUUCUGGCGGGCAUGCCUGUCCGAGCGUCAUUUCAACCAUCAAGCCUCGUGCUUGUGUUGGGGACCUGCGUCCGACGCAGGCCCUGAAAACCAGUGGCGGGCUCGCUGUCCACACCGAGCGUAGUAACUAACCUCGCUAUGGAGUGGCGCGGGCGCCUGCCGUAAAACCCCCAAUUUCACAAGGUUGACCUCGGAUCAGGUAGGAAUACCCGCUGAACUUAAGCAUAUCAAUAAGCGGAGGA